GACGUAGGGAGCAAGCGUUGUCCGGAUUUACUGGGCGUAAAGGGCGCGUAGGCGGUCUGUUAAGUGAGUACUAAAAUCUCCAGGGCUCAACCCGGAAACUGGUUCUCAUACUGACAGACUGGAGGAAGGCAGAGGUAACUGGAAUUCCUGGUGUAGCGGUGAAAUGCGUUGAUAUCAGGAGGAACUCCAAUGGCGAAGGCAGGUUACUGGGCCUUAUCUGACGCUGAGGCGCGAAAGCGUGGGUAGCAAACAGGAUUAGAUACCCUGGUAGUCCACGCCCUAAACGAUGGAUGCUAGUCGUGAGAGGUAUCGACCCCUCUUGUGACGCAGCUAACGCAUUAAGCAUCCCGCCUGGGGAGUACGGCCGCAAGGUUGAA
rnacentral:rRNA from 1 species